rnacentral:misc_RNA from 1 species
CGUAUGUGCCGUUUGGAGUUUCGCAUUUUGACAUGGUCUGGUGACUUCAUUUCUCAUCCUACAGUCGAGAGACCACGUCCAUUGUGAUGGUCAAGAGUGGACGAGUCUAAUGGUACUCAUUGCGAGCGGAUUUGGGCGGUAUUUCGCCAGAUCGAGGGAUUCGCAAAAGUCCAAUUUCCGGAUUUAAACACGUUCGGCUACAACCUCAGGCGCAUUCCUACAGCAACACGCGUACCGUGAAGUGUCUGAGCCUUGCCUAGGGGCGCUUUUGCUCCAAGAUUUAAUCACCAGAGCCCCGGUCGGAGGGGGCAUGUGUGGGUCUCGAGAUACGAUGAACAUACGGUAAAACGACCGCCCGCUGGUGGUUCGUCUUGCAGAGAGCUCUUUAACUGCGUGUGUCCGAUUCAACGAGACUAGAUGAUCAUGUCUCGUACCCCCCGUAUAUCACGUGACCCAUACUCAUGCCACCCACGUAUAACCACUUCGACAAACUCGACUGCGCCUCGUCUCAAAAAUCGUCUAGCUCUGACUCUAGCUCGGGAUGCCAAUUGUGGGGUCAUGAAAAGAGAAGAAAAUUCAAACGUCUAUUUAGACGGUAGGUUUUGCGCAGCAGAGCUGGGUUGGGGUGUCACGUGAUUGGUCAUGUGAUUGGAUGACACGAGACCAAUGCGUCUCUGUCGGUCAAGAGCUCCAGGGAUGAUUUGAUUGAAGGUAGGGUAGUACAUACUGUACAUGGCUAAUUGCUCGCAUAAUGAUGAAAUGAGAAGUCAUCACGUGAUGAGUGGAACCAGCUUGGUCGUAGACGAGAUGUCCAUCCUGUAGAUGGGUUUAUCCACUGAUCUAGAAUCUCUUUCUGGUGUAUGUUACUAUCGGAAUGUGCUGUCCCUAGAAGUGAGUUGUAAGUUGUUACAUUAACUAU